rnacentral:rRNA from 1 species
UACGUAGGGGGCAAGCGUUGUCCGGAUUUAUUGGGCGUAAAGAGCGUGUAGGCGGCCAGGUAGGUCCGUUGUGAAAACUCGAGGCUCAACCUCGAGACGCCGAUGGAAACCAUCUGGCUAGAGUCCGGAAGAGGAGAGUGGAAUUCCCGGUGUAGCGGUGAAAUGCGCAGAUAUCGGGAAGAACACCCGUGGCGAAGGCGGCUCUCUGGAACGCAACUGACGCUGAGACGGCGAAAGCGUGGGGAGCAAACAGG